CUCAUUGUUGUGAAUAUCAAAAAUUGGACACAUCAUGACAUGAAACGACAAAUACAAACGUAUCGAUCAAAACCAGCAGUCAAAAGUAAAUACUACGGAUUUCUUAUUGAAAUGGAGUGAAUAUAAAAAAAACCACACAGUAUGUUUUAUACCCACAAUAAACUGCAAUAAUGUCGAAACCCGACGCCAAGGAAACCAGACCCAAACGAGUUAUGCCUUUGUACAUGCACUUCAUCAUCGGUGGAACUUCAGGAAUGAUGGCUGUUACCUGCGUCGAAAUUUUCCGUAGGUUGUGGAGAUAAUAGGACAGAUAUUUAAGCCUAGCACGAUGAGGCCGUACGAGCUUUACUGCAAGCUUGACCUUCGCAAGAUCCUGUCUACCGGUAACUCUUACCUACACUACAAACUUGAAUUUGUAACGGCCUUUAUAUUAUUUGUUUUUAUAAAUCUGCUGAAAUUCGUCCAAAUUAAUUUUCUAACACUAUCCAGUUUUGUCAGAUGAUCGAGUACACUAGAAAUUCUAAUUCUCAAAUCAUAUGAGUCACCAGUGACUUCCAAUAAUUUUAUCUAAGCCAAACCUUUAGUGUCCGGCUAUUUUAUCAAGCAGUUUGUUAUGGUUGGUUUGGUUCGUAGAACUUUAACCAGCGUCUAUCGCGCUAGUCAAGGUGGUGCAGUGAUGCAGUGAACACGCGGCGCACCGCUCCGGGCCAACCUUACCUGCCAAGCUUACAAUGCGAAGGUGAACCCACUGGAGACUCAUUAUAAUUCUCAUAGAUUAGCAUAAUUUGAGAAAAGACUAAGCAGAAAAAUAAAUAUUAGACUUAGGGACGAGUAUAAUGGAAAGAUUUUAACUCCCGGUCGAUGAACUUUGUGGUUAAAUUUGUGAAGCGACUUUAAUAGUGCGUGUAGUCGCAAGGUUUAACUUAAUAGGUACUGUUACUACUAAUUAUUAUUUUACUUAUAACGUUUGUUUCAAUAUUCACUUACCUGGACCAAGAUUUCACCAGAGAGUUGCAAUGGGGAAAUCUUUUACAAAAACAUUAUUAAUAAAUAUUUGUGCAAAUA